UUCUAUCCUCAGUCCAAUAUCCAACAAUAUUCAAUGCUUGGAUGAACCGUGUAUAAACAUAAGAAUGGAACAAUACACAAAAACACACUUUUAUUUUAUAGAAGAAGAUAUUAUUCAAAAUAUAAACAACAUCACAUAAUUGAACAAUAGCCAAAACUGAAGCAUUUGAAUCAUCACACGAGAGUAAUGAAGGGAAACAAUCGAGGAAGAAAACCUUGAAUCGAGUAAUGAACUUUUCAGAAGAACUAAGGAAAAAUUACUACACAUUUUCAGCGUAAUAGAGCAUCCAACAACAAUUGCAUCAUUCAAAAUAGAGAUUCAUACCUGAAACAUAACUAAAAAUUGAAAAGAAAAACUAGAGCAAAGGCAAAACCGCCACCAGAUCUCGAAUGGAAAACCUCAACGAGACUCAAGAUUGACUGAAAAUUUGUGUUCAGGUGUUGUUUGGACUGAGAAUCGCUGAAAAUACACUAGCUAACGAAAAUAUCUAAUCUAUCGUCUACGAGAUAGAAUCUAAAACCAAAGAUAAAUUAGAAGAAUAGUAGCUCCCUUUCUCUUUUUUUUGUGAGUGUGUGUGCAUUGUGUGUUGUUGGUUGCCAAACCUUAGGAUGUUAGGUCUUUUGCUUUUUGAAGGAAGAAGAAGAAAUUUUNNN
rnacentral:lncRNA from 1 species